UACGUAGGGUGCAAGCGUUGUCCGGAAUUAUCGGGCGUAAAGAGCUCGUAGGCGGUCUGUUGCGUCGGCUGUGAAAACCCGAGGCUCAACCUCGGGCCUGCAGCCGAUACGGGCAGACUAGAGUUCGGCAAGGGAGACUGGAAUUCCUGGUGUAGCGGUGAAAUGCGCAGAUAUCAGGAGGAACACCAGUGGCGAAGGCGAGUCCCUGGACAACACCUGACACUGAGGCACGAAAGCUAGGGGAGCAAACAGG
rnacentral:rRNA from 1 species